rnacentral:rRNA from 1 species
GGGCCGCACGCGCGCUACACUGACGGAGCCAGCGAGUAGGAACCUUGGCCGAGAGGUCUGGGUAAUCUUGUGAAACUCCGUCGUGCUGGGGAUAGAGCAUUGCAAUUAUUGCUCUUCAACGAGGAAUUCCUAGUAAGCGCAAGUCAUCAGCUUGCGUUGAUUACGUCCC